AACGAACGCUGGCGGCAUGCCUAACACAUGCAAGUCGAACGAAACCUCCGGGUCUUUUGGCGCACGGGUGCGUAACGCGUGGGAACCUGCCCUUAGGUUCGGAAUACCUCUCCGAAAGGGGUGCUAAUACCGGAUAAUGUCUUCGGACCAAAGAUUUAUCGCGUUUGGAUGGGCACGCGUUGGAUUAGCUAGUUGGGAGGGUAAGAGCCUACUAAGGGGAGGAUCCAUAGCUGGUAUGAGAGGAUGAUCAGCAACACUGGGACUGAGACACGGCCCAGACUCCUACGGGAGGCAGCAGAGGGGAAUAUUGGACAAUGGGCUGAAGCCUGAUCCAGCAAUGCCGCGUGAGUGAUGAAGGCCUUAGGGUAGUAAAGCUCUUUUAACCGGGAUGGUAAUGACGGUACCGGGAGAAUAAGCUCCGGCUAACUACGUG
rnacentral:rRNA from 1 species